rnacentral:rRNA from 1 species
GGGCCCGCACAAGCGGUGGAGCAUGUGGUUUAAUUCGAUGAUACGCGAGGAACCUUACCAGGGCUUAAAUGUAGUGGGACAGGUCUAGAGAUAGACCCUUCUUCGGACUCAUUACAAGGUGCUGCAUGGUUGUCGUCAGCUCGUGCCGUGAGGUGUCAGGUUAAGUCCUAUAACGAGCGCAACCCCUAUCGUUAGUUGCCAGCGAGUAAUGUCGGGAACUCUAACGAAACUGCCAGUGCAAACUGUGAGGAAGGUGGGGAUGACGUCAAAUCAUCACGGCCCUUACGUCCUGGCUACACACGUGCUACAAUGGCCGGUACAGAGAGCAGCUACCGGGUGACCGGAUGCG